rnacentral:tRNA from 2 species
GGUCUCGUAGUUCAACGGAUAGAAUAGAAGUUUCCUAAACUUUUGAUCCCAGUUCGAUUCUGGGCGAGACUA